GGGGCUUAUAUUUCGGAUGAGGUGAGCUUUAGUACAUGUGGUGGGCUUAUACAUGGGGGGGGGCUUAUAUUCGGGGGCAUAUUCGGGGCCAAUAUUCGGCAUAAUAAAAAAUAAUUAAAUAGUCCACUCCAACGUGCAGAGUGUUGAUGAUACAAAAUAAACAUAGGAGUACACUCAAAUAGAAAAAGACAGUGCAAUACUCUGAAACUAAUUGCUCCUCGCUUGCAUUCACUGGUUUAUUGGUCCAUGCAAUUGUAAAGUUUUGAAACUCUAUUAUCUCCCCUGAAUAGAGUUUGCAGUGCCUUGUCAUGCAAAUAGCUUACUUGCAAGGAACGUUUGGAAUUUUUAGGAACAUUUUUAGUUUUUAAUUCUUUUAGGAAAUAGACUUGCCUAGAUUUAAUCUUUACGCCCCAAAUAUUAUUUACAUCAGAGUUGCAUCAUAAAUUGUACUCGGAUUCAAACGACACAAUGUCAAUGAUUUUAUAAAAGUAAAAGCAUAUUGUGUAUUGGCCUAUUGGGUUUACACUUUUACAGGUUCAUUUAACUUUAACUCUCUCAAGUCUCGACAGACAAUUGGACAGGCCAAAUCCAUUGAUAUGACAACUUCAAAAAACGUUUUUUCGAAUCUAGAAAUCAAUUCUUUUCAGGGAUACUUUGUUUUUUGCUCUCUAGACUCCCACUCGCGGCUCUAGUGCUCCACUCCUAGAAUAUAGACCCUACUGGGGUUUGGUGACACUUUGUGUUGCUUCAGUCACCUGCUCGCGGCUCACCCCCCUAAAAUUUCUGGCACCACCCCAGUAAAAAACAUGAAAAUCCGUCUAUGUUCGGGGGGGGGGGGUGGCUUAUAGUCGUAAGUCGGAGGUUUACGGUACCAGUACAUCACAACUCUUUAUAUCAGAAAGGGAACUUGUAGUGACUAGCAUGGUAUACCUGAAAC